rnacentral:rRNA from 1 species
AUUUUUUCGCAAUGGGCGAAAGCCUGACGGAGCAACGCCGCGUGAGGGAGGAAGGCCCUUGGGUUGUAAACCUCUUUUAAUAGGGAAGAAGCUCUGACGGUACCUAUUGAAUAAGCCUCGGCUAACUCCGUGCCAGCAGCCGCGGUAAGACGGAGGAGGCAAGCGUUAUCCGGAAUUAUUGGGCGUAAAGCGUCCGUAGGUGGCAAUUCAAGUCUGCUUUUAAAGCGUGCAGCUCAACUGCAUAGAGGGAGUAGAAACUGAAUAGCUAGAGUGCGGUAGGGGCAGAGGGAAUUCCCAGUGUAGCGGUGAAAUGCGUAGAUAUUGGGAAGAACACCAGUGGCGAAAGCGCUCUGCUGGGCCUGCACUGACA